rnacentral:tRNA from 2 species
UGGCUCUGUAGCUCAGCAGGUUAGAGCGCGCCUCUCAUAAGGGCGAGGUCGGUGGUUCGAGUCUACCCAGAGCCAA